rnacentral:tRNA from 1 species
GGAGAGGUGCCUGAGCGGUUGAAAGGGGCGGUCUCGAAAACCGUUGAGCUGAAUUUUCGGCUCCCAGGGUUCGAAUCCCUGCCUCUCCG